AGCAGUCGCCGCGGUAAUACGGAGGGGGCUAGCGUUGUUCGGAAUUACUGGGCGUAAAGCGCACGUAGGCGGCUUGGUAAGUUAGAGGUGAAAGCCUGGAGCUCAACUCCAGAAUUGCCUUUAAGACUGCCGAGCUAGCAGGUAAGAGAGGUAAGUGGAAUUCCGAGUGUAGAGGUGAAAUUCGUAGAUAUUCGGAAGAACACCAGUGGCGGAGGCGGCUUACUGGCUCAUACUGGACGCUGAGGUGCGAAAGCGUGGGGAGCAAACAGGAUUAGAUACCCCUGUAGUCCCUGUCUCUUAUAC
rnacentral:rRNA from 1 species